AGGAUUCCUACAGGAGCGACCUGAGAAUCACAUGUGGACAUUCUUAGCUAUAUAUACCCUUAUCAUCUUCUCUUAUUUUGGGUUUAUUGUACUUUGGUGUUCUUUCAUGUGUUCUCAGGUCGCCCCUGCCGGGCUUUC
rnacentral:pre_miRNA from 9 species